ACGGCUCAGUAACACGUGGACAACCUGCCCUUUAGGUUGGGUAUAAACCCGGGAAACUGGGUAUAAUACCCGAUAGGUCUCGAUUGCUGGAAUGCAUCGAGAUUUAAAGCUCCGGCGCCUAAGGAUGGGUCUGCGGCCUAUCAGGUAGUAGUGGGUGUAGCGUACCUACUAGCCUACGACGGGUACGGGUUGUGAGAGCAAGAGCCCGGAGAUGGAUUCUGAGACACGAAUCCAGGCCCUACGGGGUGCAGCAGGCGCGAAAACUUUACAAUGCUGGCAACAGCGAUAAGGGAACCUCGAGUGCCAGGUUACAAAUCUGGCUGUCGAGAUGCCUAAAAAGCAUUUCAUAGCAAGGGCCGGGCAAGACCGGUGCCAGCCGCCGCGGUAACACCGGCGGCUCGAGUGGUAACCGUUAUUAUUGGGUCUAAAGGGUCUGUAGCCGGCCGGAUAAGUCUCUUGAGAAAUCUGGCAGCUUAACUGUCAGGCUUUCAGGAGAUACUGUCUGGCUCGAGGCCGGGAGAGGUGAGAGGUACUUCAGGGGUAGGGGUGAAAUCUUGUAAUCCUUGAAGGACCACCAGUGGCGAAGGCGUCUCACCAGAACGGACCUGACGGCAAGGGACGAAAGCUAGGGGCACGAACCGGAUUAGAUACCCGGGUAGUCCUAGCCGUAAACGAUACUCGCUAGGUGUCGGCCACGGUGCGACCGUUGUCGGUGCCGUAGGGAAGCCGUGAAGCGAGCCACCUGGGAAGUACGGCCGCAAGGCUGAAACUUAAAGGAAUUGGCGGGGGAGCAC
rnacentral:rRNA from 2 species